ACCGUGACCUUAAAAGGUACUACC
rnacentral:siRNA from 1 species